rnacentral:rRNA from 1 species
AUUGAACGCUGGCGGCAGGCCUAACACAUGCAAGUCGAGCGGGGUUUUCGGACCUAGCGGCGGACGGGUGAGUAAUGCGUAGGAAGCUACCCGAUAGAGGGGGAUACCAGUUGGAAACGACUGUUAAUACCGCAUAAUGUCUACGGACCAAAGUGUGGGACCUUCGGGCCACAUGCUAUCGGAUGCGCCUACGUGGGAUUAGCUAGUUGGUGGGGUAAUGGCUCACCAAGGCGACGAUCCCUAGCUGGUUUGAGAGGAUGAUCAGCCACACUGGAACAGGGACACGCGCCAGACUCCUACGGGAGGCAGCAGUGGGGAAUAUUGGACAAUGGGCGCAAGCCUGAUCCAGCCAUGCCGCGUGUGUGAAGAAGGCCUUCGGGUUGUAAAGCACUUUCAGUAGGGAGGAAGGGUGUUGUGUUAAUAGUACACAGCGUUGACGUUACCUACAGAAGAAGCACCGGCUAACUCUGUGCCAGCCGCCGCAGUAACAC